GGUUAAGCGACUAAGCGUACACGGUGGAUGCCCUGGCAGUCAGAGGCGAUGAAGGACGUGCUAAUCUGCGAUAAGCGCCGGUAAGGUGAUAUGAACCGUUAUAACCGGCGAUUUCCGAAUGGGGAAACCCAGUGUGAUUCGUCACACUAUCAUUAACUGAAUCCAUAGGUUAAUGAGGCGAACCGGGGGAACUGAAACAUCUAAGUACCCCGAGGAAAAGAAAUCAACCGAGAUUCCCCCAGUAGCGGCGAGCGAACGGGGAGGAGCCCAGAGCCUGAAUCAGCAUGUGUGUUAGUGGAAGCGUCUGGAAAGGCGCGCGAUACAGGGUGACAGCCCCGUACACAAAAGCGCAUGUGCUGUGAGCUCGAUGAGUAGGGCGGGACACGUGGUAUCCUGUCUGAAUAUGGGGGGACCAUCCUCCAAGGCUAAAUACUCCUGACUGACCGAUAGUGAACCAGUACCGUGAGGGAAAGGCGAAAAGAACCCCGGCGAGGGGAGUGAAAAAGAACCUGAAACCGUGUACGUACAAGCAGUGGGAGCACAGGUUUACCUGUGUGACUGCGUACCUUUUGUAUAAUGGGUCAGCGACUUAUAUUCUGUAGCAAGGUUAACCGAAUAGGGGAGCCGGAGGGAAACCGAGUCUUAACCGGGCGUUAAGUUGCAGGGUAUAGACCCGAAACCCGGUGAUCUAGCCAUGGGCAGGUUGAAGGUUGGGUAACACUAACUGGAGGACCGAACCGACUAAUGUUGAAAAAUUAGCGGAUGACCUGUGGCUGGGGGUGAAAGGCCAAUCAAACCGGGAGAUAGCUGGUUCUCCCCGAAAGCUAUUUAGGUAGCGCCUCGUGAAUUCAUCUCCGGGGGUAGAGCACUGUUUCGGCUAGGGGGCCAUCCCGGCUUACCAACCCGAUGCAAACUGCGAAUACCGGAGAAUGUUAUCACGGGAGACACACGGCGGGUGCUAACGUCCGUCGUGAAGAGGGAAACAACCCAGACCGCCAGCUAAGGUCCCAAAGUCAUGGUUAAGUGGGAAACGAUGUGGGAAGGCCCAGACAGCCAGGAUGUUGGCUUAGAAGCAGCCAUCAUUUAAAGAAAGCGUAAUAGCUCACUGGUCGAGUCGGCCUGCGCGGAAGAUGUAACGGGGCUAAACCAUGCACCGAAGCUGCGGCAGCGAACGUAUCACCCAAGACAACUUUACGGAGUUGACGAUUGACGGAGCGAAGCGACGUCAAAGCGUUCAUUAAAGUCGAGUUGGCUUAGGGAUACGUUCGUUGGGUAGGGGAGCGUUCUGUAAGCCUGUGAAGGUGGCCUGUGAGGGUUGCUGGAGGUAUCAGAAGUGCGAAUGCUGACAUAAGUAACGAUAAAGCGGGUGAAAAGCCCGCUCGCCGGAAGACCAAGGGUUCCUGUCCAACGUUAAUCGGGGCAGGGUGAGUCGACCCCUAAGGCGAGGCCGAAAGGCGUAGUCGAUGGGAAACGGGUUAAUAUUCCCGUACUUGGUGUUACUGCGAAGGGGGGACGGAGAAGGCUAUGUUGGCCGGGCGACGGUUGUCCCGGUUUAAGCGUGUAGGUGUGUGUUCCAGGUAAAUCCGGUUCACUUUAACACUGAGGCGUGAUGACGAGGCACUACGGUGCUGAAGCAACAAAUGCCCUGCUUCCAGGAAAAGCCUCUAAGCAUCAGGUAACAUCAAAUCGUACCCCAAACCGACACAGGUGGUCAGGUAGAGAAUACCAAGGCGCUUGAGAGAACUCGGGUGAAGGAACUAGGCAAAAUGGUGCCGUAACUUCGGGAGAAGGCACGCUGACACGUAGGUGAAGUGAUUUACUCAUGGAGCUGAAGUCAGUCGAAGAUACCAGCUGGCUGCAACUGUUUAUUAAAAACACAGCACUGUGCAAACACGAAAGUGGACGUAUACGGUGUGACGCCUGCCCGGUGCCGGAAGGUUAAUUGAUGGGGUCAGCGCAAGCGAAGCUCCUGAUCGAAGCCCCGGUAAACGGCGGCCGUAACUAUAACGGUCCUAAGGUAGCGAAAUUCCUUGUCGGGUAAGUUCCGACCUGCACGAAUGGCGUAAUGAUGGCCAGGCUGUCUCCACCCGAGACUCAGUGAAAUUGAACUCGCUGUGAAGAUGCAGUGUACCCGCGGCAAGACGGAAAGACCCCGUGAACCUUUACUAUAGCUUGACACUGAACAUUGAGCCUUGAUGUGUAGGAUAGGUGGGAGGCUUUGAAGCGUGGACGCCAGUCUGCGUGGAGCCAACCUUGAAAUACCACCCUUUAAUGUUUGAUGUUCUAACGUGGACCCGUAAUCCGGGUUGCGGACAGUGUCUGGUGGGUAGUUUGACUGGGGCGGUCUCCUCCUAAAGAGUAACGGAGGAGCACGAAGGUUGGCUAAUCCUGGUCGGACAUCAGGAGGUUAGUGCAAUGGCAUAAGCCAGCUUGACUGCGAGCGUGACGGCGCGAGCAGGUGCGAAAGCAGGUCAUAGUGAUCCGGUGGUUCUGAAUGGAAGGGCCAUCGCUCAACGGAUAAAAGGUACUCCGGGGAUAACAGGCUGAUACCGCCCAAGAGUUCAUAUCGACGGCGGUGUUUGGCACCUCGAUGUCGGCUCAUCACAUCCUGGGGCUGAAGUAGGUCCCAAGGGUAUGGCUGUUCGCCAUUUAAAGUGGUACGCGAGCUGGGUUUAGAACGUCGUGAGACAGUUCGGUCCCUAUCUGCCGUGGGCGCUGGAGAACUGAGGGGGGCUGCUCCUAGUACGAGAGGACCGGAGUGGACGCAUCACUGGUGUUCGGGUUGUCAUGCCAAUGGCACUGCCCGGUAGCUAAAUGCGGAAGAGAUAAGUGCUGAAAGCAUCUAAGCACGAAACUUGCCCCGAGAUGAGUUCUCCCUGAGACUUUAGGUCUCCUGAAGGAACGUUGAAGACGACGACGUUGAUAGGCCGGGUGUGUAAGCGCAGCGAUGCGUUGAGCUAACCGGUACUAAUGAACCGUGAGGCUUAACCUU
rnacentral:rRNA from 2 species